rnacentral:rRNA from 1 species
GGUGAACGCUGGCGGCGUGCUUAAGACAUGCAAGUCGAACGAGGUCUUCGGGCUAGUGGCGCACGGGUGAGUAACGCGUAACUGACCUACCCCGAAGUCUGGAAUAACUGGCCGAAAGGUCAGCUAAUACCGGAUACCCAGAUGACUCGUGAGUCAUCUGAAAGAUUUAUUGCUUUGGGAUGGGGUUAGCUUCCAUCAGCUAGUUGGUAGGGUAAGGGCCUACCAAGGCAGCAGCAUAGCGCUAGAGGGUGGCCGGCACAGGGCACUAGAACGCCACU